GAGAAGAAAAAACAAAGUGUUUUGGACAUCGGGAAGUUGAGUUUGGCAAGUUUCAAGUUUAGCUGGAAUAUCGAGGUUCUUCCAGUGAAAUCCCAUGGAUUUCAAGGCUUGAAAGUGGUAAGGUUUUGUUCUUCUAGUCCUAAGCUUCAUUUUGGUACAAAUUUCAUGAGUUUUGGUGGAAAAAUGAGCGAGAUAUUGAAGUUUUAAAAUUUCCCAGUUUCCGGCGAUCACAUCGGUGACCAGCGCCAGACUCUGGCGAACCAAGGAAGAAGGAGGAGAAUAUUCCAUUAAAGUUGACGGAAUAUUCUGACGCCAUCAGGUAACUUUAACGGCAUAUUCUAAUUUUUAAUAGAAUAUUCCCUAACGUUGUUAAGGAACCCGUUUGGUGUGCCAGGCACGUGGGGUCAUGAAUUUUUUUUCUAAAAAAAUGGGGAUGUUCCUGAGGUUGAGUAGGUCAUGGUGGUAUAUUCAAAUACCCCAUUUGAGCAAUGUAUGAGAAGUUAUUUCCUUGUUUUGUGUAUGUGCUUUAAAUAAUGUUUAUUUAGUUAUUUCGCAUAUAGGUGAGACCUAUCCUGAGGAUGAGCUCCAUCAAUCGAGGCUCGGGGGCUAUAACCCUUCGACAUAUCAAUGAGUGGGCUUUUGGUUUUAUGUAUAUACCUAUAUACUUGAGAUUUUUCCUAGAAAAUGAAUUUGAAUGAUUAUACAUUUUGAAAUGCCAUGCAAAGUAUCUACCUAUUUUAUUUAUGCAUUAGUAGUUGCAUAUAUUUAUGAUUGGUGCUGCAGACACACAAGUAAGUGCCAGGUAAGUUCAUAAAUUAAAGAUAUGAUAUUGCUUCAGUUAUGCGAGAUAUGAUGUGAUGUAUUGAGAGCUCAUAAACCUGCACCCCGGUGUUAGUGCUCCCGCCCAGAGUUAGGGCACAUUCCUUCAUGUGAUGUUCACCUCCCGCACCAUAUGCUCACCUUGGAUCCAAGUUAGGUGCACAGGCUUGUCAUACUUACCACUUUAGGUGGUUCCGACUCGUAGGUGACCCGCGAUUAUUUGCACAGCCUUCACGUGAUUGUAGCACUAAAGCAUAUUUAUUUUACACCUAGUCUUGUCAUGCAAACCACUUUAGGUGGUUCCGACUUGUGUGCAGGAUUUGAUUUGAUAUGAUUGAGAUUGGUUAUGAGCUAUAUACUCAGCAAUGCAGAUUGAGUUCGAGGGAUUUGGCUGAUGCGAUAUUUGACAUUAAUAUAUUUUGCCUGGAUUACUUAUAGCAUUAAGAUACUUUGGCAUGGUAUACUUCUAUGGAUUUUCAUCUUGAGUAUGAUUUCUGAUACAACUUAUUAUUAUUAUUAUUUUUUGGGAAAUUAUACAUGUUUUACGGUAAGGGGUUAGAACUUUUGAGAAAUGAAAUGAUUUUGAAAAACUUUGUUUUGCCCACUCACACUUUCUAUUUUGCGUCCCUCCAGGUUUUAGGUAGAAGUGCUUGGUAGGAUCACCCUUGGGUGUUGUAUAAUUAGUACUUGUCUUGCUUGACUGCACGUAGACUAUUUAUGCUCUGGUUGUGUAUUUCACACUUAAUCUUGCAUUGGCAUCUUAUUUUAUCUAGUACUCUAGU
rnacentral:lncRNA from 1 species